GAUCUGCAUGGCUCCACUAUCAAGCUUAUUGAUCCAUAGUGGAAAACUCUGGCAGAUCUAAUAAGUUCAAGAUUCAGCUCUUCAGGUGUCAAAAGCAUGUCAGCGCUUGGAUUACGGUAGAACAUGAAUUCACGCUCGCCGUCAGCGCGUAGAGUCACGAACGCCAAAGCCGUCCUUGCUCCUUUGUCAAAGUUGAUACC
rnacentral:misc_RNA from 1 species